rnacentral:rRNA from 3 species
UUAAAUUGAAGAGUUUGAUCAUGGCUCAGAUUGAACGCUGGCGGCAGGCCUAACACAUGCAAGUCGAACGGUAACAGGAAGAAGCUUGCUUCUUUGCUGACGAGUGGCGGACGGGUGAGUAAUGUCUGGGAAACUGCCUGAUGGAGAGGGAUAACUACUGGAAACGGUAGCUAAUACCGCAUAACGUCGCAAGACCAAAGAGGGGGACCUUCGGGCCUCUUGCCAUCGGAUGUGCCCAGAUGGGAUUAGCUAGUAGGUGGGGUAACGGCUCACCUAGGCGACGAUCCCUAGCUGGUCUGAGAGGAUGACCAGCCACACUGGAACUGAGACACGGUCCAGACUCCUACGGGAGGCAGCAGUGGGGAAUAUUGCACAAUGGGCGCAAGCCUGAUGCAGCCAUGCCGCGUGUAUGAAGAAGGCCUUCGGGUUGUAAAGUACUUUCAGCGGGGAGGAAGGGAGUAAAGUUAAUACCUUUGCUCAUUGACGUUACCCGCAGAAGAAGCACCGGCUAACUCCGUGCCAGCAGCCGCGGUAAUACGGAGGGUGCAAGCGUUAAUCGGAAUUACUGGGCGUAAAGCGCACGCAGGCGGUUUGUUAAGUCAGAUGUGAAAUCCCCGGGCUCAACCUGGGAACUGCAUCUGAUACUGGCAAGCUUGAGUCUCGUAGAGGGGGGUAGAAUUCCAGGUGUAGCGGUGAAAUGCGUAGAGAUCUGGAGGAAUACCGGUGGCGAAGGCGGCCCCCUGGACGAAGACUGACGCUCAGGUGCGAAAGCGUGGGGAGCAAACAGGAUUAGAUACCCUGGUAGUCCACGCCGUAAACGAUGUCGACUUGGAGGUUGUGCCCUUGAGGCGUGGCUUCCGGAGCUAACGCGUUAAGUCGACCGCCUGGGGAGUACGGCCGCAAGGUUAAAACUCAAAUGAAUUGACGGGGGCCCGCACAAGCGGUGGAGCAUGUGGUUUAAUUCGAUGCAACGCGAAGAACCUUACCUGGUCUUGACAUCCACGGAAGUUUUCAGAGAUGAGAAUGUGCCUUCGGGAACCGUGAGACAGGUGCUGCAUGGCUGUCGUCAGCUCGUGUUGUGAAAUGUUGGGUUAAGUCCCGCAACGAGCGCAACCCUUAUCCUUUGUUGCCAGCGGUCCGGCCGGGAACUCAAAGGAGACUGCCAGUGAUAAACUGGAGGAAGGUGGGGAUGACGUCAAGUCAUCAUGGCCCUUACGACCAGGGCUACACACGUGCUACAAUGGCGCAUACAAAGAGAAGCGACCUCGCGAGAGCAAGCGGACCUCAUAAAGUGCGUCGUAGUCCGGAUUGGAGUCUGCAACUCGACUCCAUGAAGUCGGAAUCGCUAGUAAUCGUGGAUCAGAAUGCCACGGUGAAUACGUUCCCGGGCCUUGUACACACCGCCCGUCACACCAUGGGAGUGGGUUGCAAAAGAAGUAGGUAGCUUAACCUUCGGGAGGGCGCUUACCACUUUGUGAUUCAUGACUGGGGUGAAGUCGUAACAAGGUAACCGUAGGGGAACCUGCGGUUGGAUCACCUCCUUACCUUAAAGAA